UUAACUAAAAGCAGUAAUUUUUAUGGUUUAUAAAUAAUUUUACAAUGAGUGGAACCAAAUGGUGAUAAAAUAUGUUGAUUAUUGAGAACCUGUUUGUUUGAUAAUUGCUUAUGAAAGGCUGGCAAACUGUUGAGAAGGAGAGAACCCGUAAGGCUGGUUUGAGUCCAAAUUUUUGAGGUGAUAUUGUCGAAAUUUUUAUAAAACUCUAAGACUUUAUUUUUUAAUAAAUUCGUCUAUUGCUGCUCGGUGCAUCAAUAAGCAUCAGGUGAGUAAUUAAUUAAUGAUGUUGCUGUGAAUGGUGGAUUGAGGUGAGAAAUGUGGGUGCUGCUACUCUAAAUGAUUGGAAGAUGGUCAUUGCUGUUUGAAAAGAGCAAUGCAUCACAAUUGCCUUGUUUGCAUUGAGGUAUAAACUAUAAAGACUAUUCUUCUAUUAUGGUAAAAUCUUUUGGGAAUAACCACAUGAUUUCAUUUUCUUUGGUUUAUGAAUUGGUUUCGCUUAUUAUGAAUUUUGUUGAUUGUUGAUUGUUACUAUGAUGAUGUUGGCUUGUUCUGCCAUUA